GUGGCGCCUCAUUCUAAUGAAGAGUCAAAUUCCCCUCUUUUUUCCCUCAAAAAAGAAAAAAGGAAUUCGGCUUUUUUUUUUAUGGUACUCCCAUAUGAUAAGAAACCAAACCGGAGCCUAAACGUAUAAAGCCCUUAAGCAGUAGGAAAAAAAAGAAAAAAAGAAAUGCCUUUGGGAAAAUACUAUUGCGAUUACUGCGAUAAGGAAUUCCAGGAUACAGCAGCGGCUCGUAGGCGACAUCUUGAAGGUGUUCAACAUAAGAGAGCCAAAGCUCUUUGGUACGACUCCUUACGCAAUCCUCAGUUAUUUAACGAUCCGGAUUCGUUUGGUAAAGGAGUCUGCCAUCACUUUGUUCGAACGGGGUAUUGCCAGUAUGGGGACUCCUGCAAAUAUUAUCAUCCCAAGCAAAACUCUCAAACUGUGAACCAAACUGGAAUUCCUCCAGGGGAAAAUAGUAGAGAGGGUUUUCAUUCAAGUAGUCAACCUCCUUUUGGUUCGGCCUCUUUUCCAGGUGAUAUAUUCAGAGAAAAGGCCGGAGCAUCGCUGGGCAAUCUGCCUCCCUCUCUAAGGCCUCCGCCAGAGGGUGGUUAUCCACCUCUCCCGUUUGUUGACUGGGGAUAGGUCUGCCACCUCAUUUACUACUAUUAUUUUCAGAUAUACUUUAGAGUAGGUUGAUUGAACAUAUAGACUAUGGAGGAACCAGAUGACUGCAAUUUCAGUUGAAUGGUGUGCAGUUUGAAACGGGGGAUUUUAUUGACUGUAUUAUUAUUCUUAUAUAGAGCUUAGUUGGACAUGUAUACUGUAAAUACAAUUACAUUGAAAAAUCUAUCAUUUCAAAGAGGCGAUCUACCAUGGUCUGAGACACUUCUGGAUCAAUUCUAAAGCUUCUGUGUGAGAUAUGUAACCAAUAUCAUAUAAGAGAAAAGCUAGAGUGAAGAAAAACAAAGACAGAGCCAAAAAGGUAGAAGUAUGUUGGUGUUUAUCCUUCCAUGACUCAGAGCUGCAACUUUUUUCCAGUAUGUCCCACACAUGGAGCUAUUUGGGAGGCAUGGGCACUGGGUCUGAUCCACAUCCAGUUAUGUCUAAGGGAAAGAACUGAUUGAGGUCAUUGUAUGCAUCACAUAUACUGGGUUGUUAGAUAGCACAACUACUAAUCCAAAUGCUUGACACCCAAUAUGAAGUUAUUAUAGAAACCAGAAACGCAGCAAGCAUUGGUAGUAAAAUGACCCUCUUCUCAAAAUAUGUUAUCGACAAUGUGAACCCAAGUUUAGCAACUCUCUUGCUGAACCGGUUCCUAUACCUUCCAUGCCAUUUCCUAUUAAUACUAGUUUCACUUGGAAAAAAACUUGGUUUAUGGGGAUGCUUGCCUCAUGGUAUAGUAGCUAGCAUAAGUGGGUAGGUAAACAACGUGCUUGUUGACAUGAGAUGGUUUAUUAUACACAUUACCAACUUAUCUUGUUUA